rnacentral:rRNA from 1 species
AAUUUGGGACAAUGGGGGAAACCCUGAUCUAGCCAUCCCGCUUGUUGGAUGAAGGCCUUCGGGUUGUAAAGUACUUUUGGCAGAGAAGAAAAGGUAUCUCCUAAUACGAGAUACUUCUGACGGUAUCAGCAUAAUAAGCUCCGGCUAACUCCGUGUCAGCAGCCGCGGUAAUACGUAGGGUGCAAGCGUUAAUCGGAAUUACUGGGAGUAAAGCGUGUGUAGGCGGUUCGGAAAGAAAGAUGUGAAAACCCAGGGCUCAGCCUUGGAACUGCAUUUUUAACUGCCGAGCUAGAGUAUGUCAGAGGGGGGUAGAAGUCCACGUGUAGCAGUGAAAUGCGUAGAUAUGUGGAGGAAUACCGAUGGCGCAGGCAGCCCCCUGGGAUAAUACUGACGCUCAGACACGAAAGCGUGGGGAGCAAACAG